ensembl:snRNA U6 U6 spliceosomal RNA
GUGCUUGCUAUGGCUGCACAUAUACUAAAAUUGGAUCGAUACAGAGUAGAUUAGCAUGGCCCCUGCGAAAGGUUGCCGGUUCAAAUCCCGAUUUGCCAAGGUGCCAC